rnacentral:rRNA from 1 species
AACAAACGCUGGCGGCGUGCCUAAUACAUGCAAGUCGAACGGGGAGAGCUUUCGGGUGAGUACUAGUGGCGCACGGGUGAGUAACGCGUGGAUAAUCUGCCUUAGAGUGGGGGAUAACUAGUCGAAAGAUUAGCUAAUACCGCAUAAGACCACAAGAACUGCGGUUCAAGGGGUCAAAGGUUUUUCGCUCUAAGAUGAGUCCGCGUAAGAGUAGCUAGUUGGUAGGGUAACGGCCUACCAAGGCGACGAUCUUUAACUGGUCUGAGAGGAUGAUCAGUCACACUGGAACGGAGACACGGUCCAGAGUCCUCCGGGAGGCAGCAGUAGGGAAUAUUGCAGAAUGGAGGAAACUCUGAUGCAGCGACGCCGCGUGAGUGAUGAAGGCCUUCGGGUCGUAAAGCUCUGUCGCAGGGGAAUAACACAAUGAAGGUACCCUGUAAGAAAGGAUCGGCUAACUUCGUGCCAGCAGCCGCCGUAACAC